rnacentral:sRNA from 1 species
AGAUUGAGUCUCGCUCUGUUGCCCAGGCUGGAGUGCAGUGGUGCAAUCUCUGCUCACUGCAACCUCCGUCUCCCGAGUUCAAGCAGUUCUCCUGCCUCAGCCUCCUGAGUAGCUGGGAUUACAGAAGACAAAAAUACUAAUGCAUUUGAGAAAGCGGUAGUUUUGGGGGGAGGGGGAAAAAGCAACUGCUUUCCUGAUCUGCAACUUGGCUGGAUGCUAAGAUGUCAGUGGACAUGAAUAGCCAGGGGUCUGACAGCAAUGAAGAGGACUAUGACCCAAAUUGUGAGGAAGAGGAAGAAGAAGAAGAUGAAGACCCUGGGGACAUAGAGGACUAUUACGUGGGAGUAGCCAGCGAUGUGGAGCAGCAGGGGGCUGAUGCCUUUGAUCCCGAGGAGUACCAGUUCACUUGCUUGACCUACAAGGAAUCUGAGGGUGCCCUCAAUGAGCACAUGACCAGCUUAGCUUCUGUCCUAAAGGCCGUUGAUGCUCACUGCCAUCAGCUGCAUCCUCCCUAUGGCACUG